CCCUUAGACGUUCUGGGCCGCACGCGCGCUACACUGACCAGUGCAACAAGCAUCCGUCCUUGGCCGACAGGCCCGGGCAAUCUUUGAACGCUGGUCGUGAUGGGGAUAGACUUUUGCAAUUUUUGGUCUUCAACGAGGAAUUCCUAGUAAACGCAAGUCAUCAACUUGCAUUGAUUACGUCCCUGCCCUUUGUACACACCGCCCGUCGCACCUACCGAUUGAAUGGUCCGGUGAAGCCUCCGGAUUGGCGCGCACCCCGGUACCGCCGAGAAGUUGGCUAAACCUUACCAUUUAGAGGAAGGUGAAGUCGUAACA
rnacentral:rRNA from 1 species